CGUAACAAGGUUUCCGUAGGUGAACCUGCGGAAGGAUCAUUACCUAGAGUUGUAGGCUUUGCCUACCAUCUCUUACCCAUGUCUUUUGAGUACCUUCGUUUCCUCGGCGGGUCCGCCCGCCGAUUGGACAAACUUAAACCCUUUGUAAUUGAAAUCAGCGUCUGAAAAAACAUAAUAGUUACAACUUUCAACAACGGAUCUCUUGGUUCUGGCAUCGAUGAAGAACGCAGCGAAAUGCGAUAAGUAGUGUGAAUUGCAGAAUUCAGUGAAUCAUCGAAUCUUUGAACGCACAUUGCGCCCCUUGGUAUUCCAUGGGGCAUGCCUGUUCGAGCGUCAUUUGUACCUUCAAGCUCUGCUUGGUGUUGGGUGUUUGUCUCGCCUUUGCGUGUAGACUCGCCUUAAAACAAUUGGCAGCCGGCGUAUUGAUUUCGGAGCGCAGUACAUCUCGCGCUUUGCACUCAUAACGACGACGUCCAAAAAGUACUUUUUACACUC
rnacentral:sRNA from 1 species